rnacentral:rRNA from 1 species
UACGUAGGGUGCAAGCGUUAAUCGGAAUUACUGGGCGUAAAGCGUGCGCAGGCGGUUUCGUAAGACAGAUGUGAAAGCCCCGGGCUCAACCUGGGAAGUGCAUUUGUGACUGCGAGACUAGAGUGUGUCAGAGGGAGGUAGAAUUCCACGUGUAGCAGUGAAAUGCGUAGAGAUGUGGAGGAAUACCGAUGGCGAAGGCAGCCUCCUGGGAUAACACUGACGCUCAUGCGCGAAAGCGUGGGGAGCAAACAGG